rnacentral:misc_RNA from 1 species
GCCUCGGUAGCAGGUUCUUUCUCUCUAUUGUUUUUUCUUAUUUCAUUUCCAUUUCUGUUUUCUUUCAUGCAUGCUUUUUUCUGUUUUUAUUUUCGUUAAUUCUCUUUGAAACCAACAAUUGCAUUUGCUUGUCAAGAAACAGAAUUAUUCCUUUCUGUUUUCCUUCAUACAGAAGAUUAUGGUGACUGACGAGAUUAUUAAUUACCUUGGCAUUAUAUACAAUAGACGAUUACCUAAUGGUUUCUGAUGGGAUGAUUUUUCUUUUCUUUUUUCCUUAAUGUGGGUCCGAUAUUAUAUGAAGGUUGGCAGUGGAUUGAAUAUUUAUUAUGUUUAUAUAGCUGAUCGAUCACCUAAUGAGUAAUGGCUAAUGCCAUCAUCUCUGUCGUUAAACAAGCUUACUUUUUGCAGACAAUUUAACAAUUAGUCAUCGUUUUUCCUUUAUCUUUUUUGUUUUUCUUUUACCCCAGAUUGCCUGUGAUAUGAGUUCUGACCAUGGUUCUUCUCUAAAUUCUGUGUUUCUAAUUGGGAAUUCUUGUUGUUGCCCUUUUACUAAUGAAGAAACCAGAAGACAUUU